AGCCCAAGGCUGCGACGUGUCUGGAAUGUUCCCUGUCACAGGAGUGCCUCUGGCAGUGACCCGCGUCUCUCACCCUCCUCAUCUUCCUUUGCCUCUGAAAAGCUCAUGUCAUGGAUGUGCAAAAGGAGACCUCCUGAUAAAUUAUCUUCUCAGCCCCAACUCCUCUCAGAUGAAUUAAAACCAACAACACUGCCCAUUUCACAAAUCCACAGGCACUGAGGACGGUGGACGGCUCAUCAGGGAUGCAAGGUGACAGACCCCAUGUGAGGAAGGCCAAGGGCAUUCUGUAGUUCAGGCAAUGGAGGCACCUUGAAUAUUUUCUCAAUUUGCUUUCUAAACAGCAAGUGCUCUUAACAUCCAAGACUGUCAAGAAUCUGACAGCUCUGCUAACGGAAGCUGCAGACCCUCGGUUCGGUUCCAUCGCCCUUUGUCUGGGCUGGUGUGUGAAGCUCCGAAUCUGUGACUUCACUAGAAUCAGUGUGCGCAAGGGGAUCAGCAACGCAGGGCAAAGGUGACUGGUGAGACACACGUCUACACAAACGCAUACAGGUAUACAA